rnacentral:sRNA from 1 species
CCUGCUCGCCCUCUUGGGCGUUUCCUCCCUAGACUUCGGGCUGCUCUCUUGGGCGGCCUUUUUUCUGUCUGGG